GAUGAACGCUGGCGGCGUGCCUAAUACAUGCAAGUCGAGCGAACAGACGAGGAGCUUGCUCCUCUGACGUUAGCGGCGGACGGGUGAGUAACACGUGUAUAACCUACCUAUAAGACUGGGAUAACUUCGGGAAACCGGAGCUAAUACCGGAUAAUAUAUUGAACCGCAUGGUUCAAUAGUGAAAGACGGUUUUGCUGUCACUUAUAGAUGGAUCCGCGCCGCAUUAGCUAGUUGGUAAGGUAACGGCUUACCAAGGCAACGAUGCGUAGCCGACCUGAGAGGGUGAUCGGCGACACUGGAACGGGGACAGGGUCCAGACUCCUACGGGAGGCAGCAGUAGGGAAUGUUCCGCAAUGGGCGGAAGCCUGACGGAGCAGCGCCGCGUGAGUGAUGGAGGUCUUCGGAUCGUAAAACUCUGUUAUUAGGGAAGAACAAAUGUGUAAGUAACUAUGCACGUCUUGACGGUACCUGAUCAGGAAGCCACGGCUAACUACGUG
rnacentral:rRNA from 1 species